rfam:Serendipita vermifera MAFF 305830 unplaced genomic scaffold scaffold_217, whole genome shotgun sequence.
UGAGUUGUAGUUUAAUAGGUAAAACACUGCUUUUUGGUGGUAGUUACUGCAAGUUCGAAUCUUGCCAACUCAA